UACGUAGGGUGCGAGCGUUAAUCGGAAUUACUGGGCGUAAAGCGUGCGCAGGCGGUUUUGUAAGCCAGAUGUGAAAGCCCCGGGCUUAACCUGGGAAUGGCAUUUGGGACUGCAAGGCUGGAGUGUGGCAGAGGAGACUGGAAUUCCUGGUGUAGCAGUGAAAUGCGUAGAUAUCAGGAGGAAUACCGAUGGCGAAGGCGGUUCUCUGGGCCUUACCUGACGCUGAGGAGCGAAAGCGUGGGGAGCGAACAGG
rnacentral:rRNA from 1 species